rnacentral:lncRNA from 1 species
AGAAUUUCUUCUGGUAUUAUAUAUCAUAGUUAAUGAAAGAAAGUGAAAGUCAUAGUUGCUCAGUCAUGUCCAACUCUUUGUGACCUCAUGGACUGUAGCCCGCCAGGCUCCUCUGUCCAUGGAAUUCUUCAGGCAAGAAUACUGGAUUGGGUAACCAUUUCCUUCUUCAGGGGAUCUUCCCCAUCCAGGUAUCAAACCUGGGUCUCCUGAAUUGCAGGCACAUUCUUUACUGUCUGAGCCACCAGGGAUAGUUAAUACUGAGAAACAAUUUGAAUACUCAACAAGAGGGCAUUUUAUUUUUCCAUCCUGCGUGUUCUACGGUAAUCUCAGUCUCUUGUGAUGCAGGCAGAAACUGGAACAGGCUGUGGUAGUUUUCUGAUUAAGAACAGCAGCAAGCAAUCACCUCCAAGAACUAAGGAAGAUAAAGAGGAACCAAAGGAUGGAGGGGAGGUCAAUCACUCACUUUGUGUCUGCACAUUUAUUGUUAUGCCAUAUCUACCUUUUAUUUUGAGCAUUUGUUUCCUAUUAUAAUCCAAGGGAAAAUAAAUCAUAGGAGGCAAGGCAUCUUUCUUGUAAAACUUCACAAUCAGACCAGUCCUUUGUGGUCUGACCUA